UAGUACCGUGGCGCACGGGUGAGUAACACGUAGGUAACCUACCUACCAUUGGGGAACAACUUCGGGAAACCGAGGCUAAUACCGCAUACGUCUCACUGUCGUAUUGGCCGUGAGGGAAAGGUGGCCUCUGCUUGCAAGCUAUCGAUGGUAGAUGGGCCUGCGCACCAUUAGCUAGUUGGUAGGGUAACGGCCUACCAAGGCGACGAUGGUUAGCUGAUCUGAGAGGACGAUCAGCCACACUGGCACUGGAACACGGGCCAGACUCCUACGGGAGGCAGCAGUGGGGAAUAUUGCGCAAUGGGCGAAAGCCUGACGCAGCAACGCCGCGUGAGUGAUGAAGGCCUUCGGGUCUUAAAGCUCUGUCGGCAGGGGCGAAACUCCGGUGGAAACAAUACUCCAUCGGU
rnacentral:rRNA from 1 species